ensembl:processed_transcript 4930581F22Rik RIKEN cDNA 4930581F22 gene
CAAGGGAAAAAGAAGAAGGCAAAAGAAAAACUGCUCGGGGAGAAAGAACAACUGAAAUAUGUCUGGCAAGUUGAUUCAAGAAACAGUUGCCCGGCCUCCAAACCUGGAUAAGUCUUCACCAAACUAGGUACAAAGACAAGUUCUUGCUAAAGACUGAGAAGUGUAAGGAAGAAGACCCAGGGGGACACACUGGAAUGCGCUACAAGUGUAGGCUUGUGAAACAAGCAUUGUGAAACAACUCACUUGUCCUUCCCGGAGAAUGUUCCUCAGUAGUGGCAGAUGCUCUGGAGUGAGAUCUCGAAGUGAUCUGAUACCCCGGCGAUGGCAGAUGGCGAUCAAAUACAGGUCAUCAAGCUGUGCAGAGACCACAGGACAAAACAAGACAAUGCUAGUUUUAGCAAGGAGGCUACCAGCCAGGGCACUCCUACCCCCCAAGGCCAAUCCAGAAGACCCUACAGCAGAGCCAAUGAGCGGGUACCCGAGGUAUGUCUGCCCUGGAUGUCAAGGGAUAGCUGAAGAACAAGAUUUCUGUGUAUUCUUUGGAACUAGGUGUGGUGGUACACGCCUGUAAUCCCAGCACUCAAGCAGAAGGACUGAGGGUUCAAAGUCUCUCUGGGCUAUACAGCAAGACCCUUUCAAAAAAGAAAUUGAGAAAGGAAGAAAAACUAUAAAACAAAAAUUUCCAUCUGGGAAUGUUUACAUAAACUAAGGAGUUGACAGGAAGAGACGGGCAAGUUCUGAAAGCCAAGCACAAAAGUCUUUGUCCUGAAGAAUUUACAACUUCACUUAAGUGCAUGUCGUUCUCCUGUAUGAAAUAAAUGUUGCAUAAAAGCA